GAGAAAGAUGGUCAAAGGACGACUUCUAAUCGACCCUUUUCAUGAUUCAAGUUCAUGAUUUCUCC
rnacentral:tRNA from 1 species